CCACCCAAUCCACAAUUCCAUUAGUUUCACAGAAGACAUGCUUGGCCUCAAAGGCCACUCCAUCCCUCAUUAUGGCUCAGAUGUCACGAAGUAAAAGGUGGUCGUCAUCCGCACCCCUCGAACCUCCUAGAUUCAUCUGAUAACCGUGGCCGAGUCGCUCUCCAUGAUGACUGAGCGAGCUCGCAAAUCUAGUUGGACAUGUCGAAGGUCUGUCCACGCGGCUC
rnacentral:lncRNA from 1 species